rnacentral:rRNA from 1 species
UGUACACGCUGUGACUAGCAUAUCAAUAAGCGGAGGAAAAGAAACUAACAAGGAUUCCCCUAGUAACGGCGAGUGAAGCGGGAAGAGCUCAAAUUUGAAAUCUUGAAGGGUUUCCCUUUACGAAUUGUAGUUUAAAGAAGUGUUUUCUGUUGAGGUUUUGGUAAAAGUUCUUUGGAAUAGGACAGUCAUAGAGGGUGAGAAUCCCGUAUUUGACCUUUACUUUCAACUUUGUGAUACACUUUCAAAGAGUCGGAUUGUUUGGGAAUGCAGUCCAAAAUGGGUGGUAAAUUUCAUCUAAAGCUAAAUAUUGGCGAGAGACCGAUAGCGAACAAGUACCGCUGAGGGAAAGAUGAAAAGAACUUUGAAAAGAGAGUUAAACAGUACGUGAAAUUGUCAAAAGGGAAGCGUUUGACACCAGUGUUGUUUUUCUGAAAAUCAAUUAAAGAACUGUUUAUGCUAAGCUGUUUAGACUUUAUCAGCUAAUCUGUUUAGUUUUGAGCUUUUCUUUAAUGCACUUUUCAGUUAACAAGUCAACAUCAAUUUCUUUUGCUGUAAAAAAGCUUGAGGAAGGUGGCUUGAGAUUCGUCUUAAGUGUUUAUAGCCUCUUGCCUAUGCAGUCGGAGAGAUUGAGGUCUGCAGCGUAGAUCCUUCGGGGCUAAAUGCAUUUGUGCUAAGUUAUAGCAUUUUAUAGACAACUUGUUGACUAUGAUUUGUCUUGUAGCUUACUCGCUUAUGUUAUUUUACCUACGCUUAGGAUGUUGAUAUGCAUGACUGAUAU